AACGCACAUUGCGCCCUGUGGUAUUCUGCAGGGCAUGCCUGUUCGAGCGUCAUUAUAACCACUCAAGCUUGGCUUGGUCUUGGGGUGUGCGGAUCCGCAACCUCUAAAAUCAGUGGCGGUGCCGGUGGGCUCUACGCGUAGUAAUUCUCCUCGCGGUUGAGUUCCCUUGGUGGCUUGCCAGGACCCCCCAAAUUCUCAGGUUGACCUCGGAUCAGGUAGGGAUACCCGCUGAACUUAA
rnacentral:misc_RNA from 1 species